rnacentral:tRNA from 1 species
GGAUGAAGCUCAGUGGUAGAGCAUGUGCUUAACAUGCAUGAGGCCCUGGGUUUGAUCCCUAGUACCUCCA